GUGUCAGCCGCCGCGGUAAUACGUAGGGUGCGAGCGUUGUUCGGAAUUACUGGGUGUAAAGGGUCCGCAGGCGGGCAAGCAAGUCGGUGGUGAAAGUUCAUGGCUCAACUGUGAAAUUGCCUUCGAUACUGCUUGUCUUGAGUUCGAGAGAGGAUGAUGGAAUUCAUGGUGUAGCAGUGAAAUGCGUAGAGAUCAUGAAGAACACCAGUUGCGAAGGCGGUCAUCUGGCUCGAUACUGACGCUCAGGGACGAAAGCGUGGGUAGCAAACAGGAUUAGAAACCCGAGUAGUCC
rnacentral:rRNA from 1 species